rnacentral:rRNA from 1 species
AGCUCCAAUAGCAUAUACCAAUUCUGCUGCUGUUAAAAAGCUCGUAGUUGGAUCUUUCCCGAGGGCCCGGUCUGUCUAACGGACUAGCACUGGGUUCCGAGGGUAUACCUUGCUGGUUGUCUCAUGGUGCUCUUCAUUGAGUGCCUUGGGUGGCUAGCACGUUUACUUUGAAAAAAUUAGAGUGCUCAAAACAGGCGUUACAGCCCGAAUAGUGGUGCAUGGAAUAAUGGAAUAGGACCUCGGUUCUAUUUUGUUGGUUUUAGGAGCGCGAGGUAAUGAUUAAGAGGGACAGACGGGGGCAUUCGUAUUGCGGCGUUAGAGGUGAAAUUCUUGGAUCGCCGCAAGACGAACAACUGCGAAAGCAUUUGCCAAGAAUGUUUUCA